rnacentral:rRNA from 1 species
AGCGAACGCUGGCGGCAGGCCUAACACAUGCAAGUCGAACGAAGCCUUCGGGCUUAGUGGCGGACGGGUGAGUAACACGUGGGAACGUACCUUUUGGUUCGGAACAACUCAGGGAAACUUGAGCUAAUACCGGAUGAGCCCUUAGGGGGAAAGAUUUAUCGCCGAAAGAGCGGCCCGCGUUAGAUUAGCUAGUUGGGGAGGUAAAGGCUCACCAAGGCAACGAUCUAUAGCUGGUCUGAGAGGAUGAACAGCCACACUGGGACUGAGACACGGCCCAGACUCCUACGGGAGGCAGCAGUGGGGAAUCUUGCGCAAUGGGCGAAAGCCUGACGCAGCCAUGCCGCCUGAAUGAUGAAGGUCUUAGGAUUGUAAAAUUCUUUUACCAGGGACGAUAAUGACGGUACCUGGAGAAAAAGCCCCGGCUAACUUCGUGCCAGCCGCCGCAGUAAUAC